rnacentral:rRNA from 1 species
AUUGAACGCUGGCGGCAUGCCUUACACAUGCAAGUCGAACGGUAACAGGUCUUUCGGGAUGCUGACGAGUGGCGAACGGGCGAGUAAUACAUCGGAACGUGCCUAGUAGUGGGGGAUAACUACUCGAAAGAGUGGCUAAUACCGCAUGAGAUCCAUGGAUGAAAGCAGGGGACCUUCGGGCCUUGUGCUACUAGAGCGGCCGAUGGCAGAUUAGGUAGUUGGUGGGAUAAAAGCUUACCAAGCCUACGAUCUGUAGCUGGUCUGAGAGGGCGAUCAGCCACACUGGGACUGAGACACGGCCCAGACUCCUACGGGAGGCAGCAGUGGGGAAUUUUGGACAAUGGGCGCAAGCCUGAUCCAGCAAUGCCGCGUGCAGGAUGAAGGCCUUCGGGUUGUAAACUGCUUUUGUACGGAACGAAAAGUCUUGGGUUAAUACCCUGGGAUCAUGACGGUACCGUAAGAAUAAGCACCGGCUAACUACGUGCCAGCAGCCGCCGUAAGAC